UACGUAGGUCCCGAGCGUUGUCCGGAUUUAUUGGGCGUAAAGCGAGCGCAGGUGGUUUAUUAAGUCUGGUGUAAAAGGCAGUGGCUCAACCAUUGUAUGCAUUGGAAACUGGUAGACUUGAGUGCAGGAGAGGAGAGUGGAAUUCCAUGUGUAGCGGUGAAAUGCGUAGAUAUAUGGAGGAACACCGGUGGCGAAAGCGGCACUCUGGCCUGUAACUGACACUGAGGCUCGAAAGCAUGGGGAGCAAACAGG
rnacentral:rRNA from 1 species